rnacentral:pre_miRNA from 1 species
UGGACAGAUUAUUGUAUUCGACUGUAUUCACGGCAUGGGGAUUACACUAUUUUUAAACGAAAAGUGAAUCAAUUAAUAUAAUAGACACCU